UACAGAGGGCUCAAGCGUUGUUCGGAUUCAUUGGGCGUAAAGGGCGCGUAGGCGGCCUCCGCAAGUCGACUGCGAAAUCUCCGGGCUUAACCCGGAAAGGUCAGCCGAAACUGCGGGGCUAGAGUGCAGAAGGGGCAACUGGAAUUCUCGGUGUAGCGGUGAAAUGCGUAGAUAUCGAGAGGAACACCUGCGGCGAAGGCGGGUUGCUGGGCUGACACUGACGCUGAAGCGCGAAAGCUAGGGGAGCGAACGGG
rnacentral:rRNA from 1 species